CCCUUAGAUGUUCUGGGCCGCACGCGCGCUACACUGAUGCAUUCAACGAGUUUCUUCCUGGUCCGAGAGGAAUGGGUAACCUUUUGAAAGUGCAUCGUGAUAGGGAUAGACUAUUGCAAUUAUUGAUCUUCAACGAGGAAUUCCUAGUAGACGUAGUUCAUCAGACUGCAUCGAUUACGUCCCUGCCCUUUGUACACACCGCCCGCCGCUCCUACCGAUUGAAUGCUCAGGUGAGCCAUUCGGACUUUCAUCAUGCUGGUUUCCAGUUUUGAUGAAGGAAAGUCUUGCGAACCUUAUCAUUUAGAGGAAGGAGAAGUCGUAACA
rnacentral:rRNA from 1 species